CCAAGAUCUCAUGCUCCUCCCCACAGCCCUCUUCUCUGCUCACACAGGAAGCCCAGGAAGCCUCUGCCUCAGAGAUGCUGCCGCUGCUGCUGCCGCUGCCCCUGCUGUGGGCAGGGCCCUCGCUCAGGAUGCAAGAUUCCGGCUGGAGAUGCCAGAGUCCGUGACGGUGCAGGAGGGUCUGUGCAUCUUUGUGCACUGUUCGGUCUUCUACCUCGAGUAUGGCUGGAAAGAUUCUACCCCUGCUUAUGGCCACUGGUUCCGGGAAGGGGUCAGUGUAGACCAGGAGACUCCAGUGGCCACAAACAACUCAACUCAAAAAGUGCAGAAGGAGACCCAGGGCCGAUUCCACCUCCUCGGUGAUCCCUCAAGGAACAACUGCUCCCUGAGCAUCAGAGACGCCAGGAGGAGGGACAACGGUUCAUACUUCUUUUGGGUGGCGAGAGGAAGAACAAAAUUUAGUUACAAAUAUUCCCCGCUCUCUGUGUAUGUGACAGCCCUGACCCACAGGCCCGACAUCCUCAUCCCGGAGUUCCUAAAGUCUGGCCAUCCCAGCAACCUGACCUGCUCUGUGCCCUGGGUCUGUGAGCAGGGAACACCCCCCAUCUUCUCCUGGAUGUCAGCUGCCCCCACCUCCCUGGGCCCCAGGACCCUCCACUCCUCAGUGCUCACGAUCAUCCCACGGCCUCAGGACCACGGCACCAACCUCAUCUGUCAGGUGACGUUCCCCGGAGCUGGUGUGACCACGGAGAGAACCAUCCAGCUCAGUGUCUCCUGGAAAUCAGGAACCGUGGAAGAGGUGGUUGUUUUGGCCGUGGGGGUAGUGGCUGUGAAGAUCCUGCUUCUCUGCCUUUGCCUCAUCAUCCUCAGGUCCUUGUCUCUUCACUCAAUGUCAGUUUCCACAAGAAGAAGGCGGUGAGGGCAGUGGAGGUUGAGGAGAAUGUAUAUGCUGUCAUGGGUUAAUCUCUCAGGCCUCCAGACUGUACUUCCAGAUGUCUCCUCAUCCAGUUCCUCCACAGUCUGAAUGGCCAUGUUUCCUCUUCAUUGCUGGAGAAUGAAGUGCAAAUGCCACUGCCUGGACUGAAGGCCUUUCACGAUCUGUCUUCUGCUGGACUCUGCUCCUGAUCCCCCUUCUCCUUGCAUCACCCGAAGUCUCCCUACACCCACCAGGCCAAGCCCUCUGUGAUUCUGAGACUUUGCAUGUGUAGUUACUUCUCCUGAAAUGGC
ensembl:lncRNA SIGLEC17P sialic acid binding Ig like lectin 17, pseudogene